AACGAACGCUGGCGGCAGGCUUAACACAUGCAAGUCGAACGGGUGCAGCAAUGCAUCAGUGGCAGACGGGUGAGUAACACGUGGGAACCUUCCUAGGGGUACGGAACAACUCAGGGAAACUUGAGCUAAUACCGUAUACGUCCGUGAGGAGAAAGAUUUAUCGCCCUUAGACGGGCCGCGCCAGAUUAGCUAGUUGGUGGGGUAACGGCCUACCAAGGCGACGAUCCGUAGCUGAUCUUAGAGGAUGAUCAGCCACACUGGGACUGAGACACGGCCCAGACUCCUACGGGAGUCAGCGGUGGGGAAUCUUGGACAAUGGGCGCAAGCCUGAUCCAGCCAUGCCGCGUGAGUGAAGAAGGUCUUCGGAUUGUAAAGCUCUUUUGCCAGGGACGAUAAUGACGGUACCUGGAGAAUAAGCCCCGGCAAACUUCGUGCCAGCCGCCGCUGUAACAC
rnacentral:rRNA from 1 species